rnacentral:rRNA from 1 species
AUAGCCUCUGGCUAUAGGAAAUUGUUAGUGGCAGACGGGUGAGUAAUGCGUAGGAAUCUACCUAGUAGUACGGAAUAGCCAUUAGAAAUGGUGGGUAAUACUGUAUAAUCCCCGAGGGGGAAAGAUUUAUCGCUAUUAGAUGAGCCUACGUUAGAUUAGCUAGUUGGUGAGGUAAUGGCUUACCAAGGCUAUGAUCUAUAGCUGGUCUGAGAGGACGAUCAGCCACACUGGAACUGAGAUACGGUCCAGACUCCUACGGGAGGCAGCAGUGGGGAAUAUUGGACAAUGGGCGAAAGCCUGAUCCAGCUAUGCCGCGUGAGUGAAGAAGGCCUUCGGGUUGUAAAACUCUUUCAAUAGGGAAGAUAAUGACGGUACCUAUAGAAGAAGU